AUGCGGGGCGGCUCACAGGCCCAGGACGUGGGGAUGCCCGAAGCUGGGAGGAGGCUCAGACAGCAGGAAGGAGAGAAGGAAGGAAGGAACUUCCACAGCACCGACGCCUACGAAAUUACAACACAUGCACAAAACCAUCCUUGUACCACCACGAAUAGCUGGCCAUGGCUCUUUGAUAGGCAUUUUUAUUCUGCCGUAGAAAUUAUCCUUGAAUCGGAAAAAAAAUCCCCAACCCAGCGUCCAGUCACUCAACACUCUCAUCUUUGUGAAGAGCUGGUUCCGAAUUCUGGGUCGCUUUUUGGAAAAAAUAUCUGUUGUGGUAAAACGUGCUGCAUCUGUGGUCUCAAGUCUCUACUGGAAUUGGAUAGAGAUGGUGAAUUUCAGUCAGAGCGCUCUCCUAAAAGCCAUCAGCCCCGCACCUCCAUCUUCCCUCCUCCCAUGAGUCGCCUGCUCCCCGUGACACUGGCCUCCUCGCAGUGCUGCUGGGGCACGUCAGGAAGUGCUGGAGGACAUGGCACUGCGCCAGCACCAGGCGGCCGGCCGUGUGGCUCAUCCCGCAGAUCAGGCUCUUCCUGUGCAUGGAGAUGGAGUCCUCCUGGAGGCAGCCCAUGGCCCGAUUCUCAGGCUGGUGGAGCAUGGAGAUGACUGGGAAUUUCACUAGACAUGCAUCCAGCCAGUCCAAGGACUUGUCGAGCCAUGCACCAGCUUGGAGGAGAGGUAGCUCUUUAUGCCCUUGAACUUGUUCUACUGAGUGGUGUCGCCAAUGGUGCAUGGGCAGGGGUAGGGCUACUCCUGCCACUUGGGGCCAUGGAGCCACAGCAGCCACAGCACCAUGCACACAGCAUGUCCCUGUCCUUCACAGAGCCCAAUGCCUCGCCAAGCACAAAGGCCUCCCUUCCCGACUUGAAAAGGCAGAGUAGUGGUUGAGGUUGUGGCUCACAGUGACCGAGCUCCUGCCCACGUGGGGACACAGGCAGCUGUCGAGUUCCAGGAAUGCACCUCUGCCCAAUGCACCUGGCUUGUCCACCAUCAUGGAGCUGCCAUCCCACUUGUCGUUCCCGUCAUCAUCACUGCCCUGGCUGGCCUAGUUGCCACCGAGGAGCUGCUGAGGCCACGGCUGCAGGGCACCCCUACCGCCUGGAAAGCCUGCAUCGGCUGCUGGAAGGCACUCUGUGGUGGCAUCAGUUGCAGCUGCAGUAGCAGCUGGAAAGCGCUAAGAGGCAACUUCAAGGAGGCGGGCAGUGCACCUGGCAGGGCCUCAAAGCCUCUGAGUGGUACGAUGGCCAUGGCACAGUGGGUCAAGGCACAGGGGCAGCCAUGGUGCGCUGGGCCAGUCCAGGGGUGCAGACCACUUGCACCGCAGAUAUAAGGCCAGAGUUGCUGCGGCCAUGAGCCCCUGCGAGUCAGCCCUUGAUGUCCUGCUCGCUAUACGGGCUCAGCACUUCAUGUUCUCAUAGAUCACUCUCAAAUUCUGCGCCAUCAAGUGGUACAGCAACUGAAUCCACAGUGCCAUGGGUCCCCUGCGUGGUCAUCCUGGCCACUGUGGAGGCACGUGACACCUCUGGCUCCCCUCCCCUCCCAGGGCUCAGGUUGAGGCCAGGCCCCUCUGGUCCUGGGAACUGUGCCUUGAGGGCGGGGCUCUGUCCUGCAGGUUGAGUCAGAGGCUGCAAGGCACGCUACUGACGGCUGGGGCUGCAGGGGUGCCACACUCACCCCUCUGGGGAAGUCUUAGAGUGAACAGCGUUCUUAUUGAAGAUGACUUCCCAAGGCCCAAGAGCCAUCUAGGGCUGUGGAGCAGCUAGCCGGGUGCUGCCUUAACUCCUUCCACACCGGGCUGGUCACUGCCCGCCCAGAGGAGUCAGAUGCAGGUGCCAUUGUGUAGAGAAAUGUCUCUGGACCUGCCUCUUGGUUAUCACGGGGCACAGUAGUUUCUGGUGUCAGGGCCCUGAUGAAGCUGUUGAGCCUAUCCGGGGCAGAUGUGGAAGUGACAGGAGCUCAGCAUCCCUGUUCAAGGUCAUACCACAGGAACCACAAGCCCCCAACGCCAUCCGGCUCCAUUGGAAGCUUUGGCAUGGAAUUCCACCAGAGGUACGGCCAGUUAACCCAAGGUCUGCCCUGAGCUGGGGACGGCAUGGCCACACCCUGAGCCCUGGAGAUUCCCAGAGAGCAACCUUCUGCCUUGGGCGCUGCAGAAUCCCCUUUUACAUGUCACUGGGCCUCGGCCUCGGGGACAGCCUGGCCAGGCCAGGGUAGGGGAGGAUCAGGCUCCCAUUCCAGAGGAGUCGCCUACAUGGGCUGCUGGAGCUGGGCUGGUGGGCCAGGGAGGGUCAGCCCAUCCCCGUUGUAGAGAGGUUCAAUGCCAGGAAAUACCCGAAGAGUUCGGGGUGCUGGGGUCCCUCCCUCAGGUUUGGCUGAAGAGAAUGCAGACGAACCCAGCUUCUCCACCAAGCCCAUCAGAUGUCCUCGCAGGGCCGGGUUCUGCACAUUUGGGUCUCUGGAGUCCUUGGGGUCCCUCUGUCCUCCACCCUAGCCUGACACUGAGGACACCCCUGCAGGUCGCAGAUCCCAGAGCAAGGGGUGUGUGCAGCCGCCUGGGUAUCCCCCAUGGGACAGGUAACACAGGGUUCGGGCUGGCUUGGGGCUUCCUGCCUCACGUCCUCAUCCCAGGGCUGGGCGGCCUGGGAUGCAGCCCUGAUUCGGAGCUCGGGUGGGAAGAAGCUCUCACUGUCACCUGGCCGUCUUGCCACCUCACACGGGGGCCUGUCUCCACAGUGGGUGAGACGGCCCCGGACAUCCGCUCUCUGGAGUCGUCCACUCCAUGCCAAGACUGGACCAUUCCCACGCCUGGCUGAACUCUUGGUUCUGGCCCUGGGCCAGGGCUCCUGCCCGUGUCCUCUCCCCAGAUCCUCUGGGCCAGAAACACUGAUUCUCCUGUUCACCUGGCAUCCCUGAAGGGGCACUCUGGAGUGAGGGGACCCUGAUCCUCCUGGCGUCUGUUGAUGCUCACAGGCAGGGCAGGGAGCUGGCACAGACCGGAGACAGUGUAAAAGGUGCAGGGGGCACCCCCACCUGUCUUGAGCAGCAUGUCCAGUACAUGUGCACUCAGCACAUCCCCUUAAAACCGGCAGGUCUGUCUGUGGGAGUUUCUCUGUAGAGGAGGAAGAGGUCUGGGAGGAAGGUCCAGGUAGUGGGGUUGCAGGGACCCAGGCCCCCUCCACUAUCGACUGCCCCAGAGGGUGACUCAGACAGAGACCUGAUGCUGGAGCCUCCCUAGGGGUGGCAGGUCCCAGUGUCUCCUCAUAGUUCCCUCAUGCAGACCCGAAAGUGCAUGAGAACUGCAUUGUCCUCCAGGGCCCAGGCCUGGGAGAACGGCUCCUGAACCAAUCCUUAUAGGCCAGACUGGGACAGGUUCAUGAGGCACUCUAGGGACAGGGGGGCAGCAUGGAAGGGGUCGGUGCCCACACCCAGUUUCCCCCACGGCUACCUCCCACUGGGAGGUGCUGAGUCCUUUUGCAGCCACCCCUGGCUUCCAGCUGUCCACAGGAGGCCAUGGCCGGGGGGAGGCCUGGGUGGGGAGGUGCCCACCACACUCCUGCCUUUGAUCUGGGUCUUGUCAAGGUGGGCUCCAUGUCUGGGAGGACUCAGUGUCCUGCUCAGCACAACAGGCCCAGCCUGGCCCUCCAGACUGAAGCAGAGGGUCGUGGGAACAGUGUGAGGGUGCUGUCCUUGGGCCAGUCCGGGUCUGUCCCGGGGAGCGGGACUGGAGAUCUUCCUGGCAUGUUCCUGGAACGGAGUCACCGUGAGGAUGAACAGGAUGACCGUUUGCCCGGUCAGCACAGAACGGGCACCCAGUGAGCACUCGAGGAUGACCCUCCUCGGGCAGCUGCCACCCACCCAGUAGCGACUGUGCCCGAGUCAGCAGGGAGGGAAGAGAGCAUGUCACGCUCUCCUAAGUCUGAUCAAGCAGCGGCGCAGAGAUGUGCCUCUCACCUAGAAAGCGUCCUGUGGGCAGAACCACUCACGCUGUGUCUCCAACUGCUCUACGACACAGAGUCGGGCGGGUACCUGGGCACUGGGUAAUGGUGCAUUGUGGGCUCAUGGCACCCAUCACCAUGGGGCCCUGCACGGGUCAGCAGGGCCCAGAGACGGCAUCCUCUGCCCCCUGAACUGUCGACAUGUGUGCGUGCAAUGCGUCUGUGCACUUGAGUGCAGGUGGAUAUGGGCGGGCACGUGUGUGCGUGUGUCUCUCCUCCGGCCGGCCCUGGCUUCCCCAAUCACGUGUGCCCCCAUGUCCUCAUCUCUGUCACCCCAGGGCCUGUGGUCAGCAUCAGAGCAUCCGCGGGUGCACCCCAGCCUCUGCCUUCAGGCAGGGUGGUCCUGGGGAUGCAGGCAGGGCAGGGCAGUGGGUGAAACCUCCUCCCUUGCGGGGAACUCAGUAUGUACAGUGCUAAAUCUGCAUAGCAGGGCCAUAUUCAAUGCACUUCUCCUCCUCCCAGUAGCUCUCUGGGGUGCAGUUGAUUUCAUCUUCCCUGCAAAUGGAAGAAAGGAGGCUUCUAGGACAAGCCCCCUGCCUGAGGUCACCCAGCAGCCAACUGACCUGGUCCUUACUGACUAGGUCCCCACUAACCAGGCCCCCACUGCCAGGCCCCCACUCACCAGGUCCCCACUCACCAGGUCCUGUUGACUAAGCCAGAUCGUGUUCUGCUGACCAAGCCCUGUAGACUGGGUCCCACUGAUCAGGCCCCGCAGUGACCAAGCCACCACUGACCUGGUCCCCCGUGACCAUCGACCCACAGACCAGGGCUCAUCUUAAGUUAACCCAUCUAAGAAAAUGGGUUUGGCCCCAGACCAAACCCAUUUUCUUAAGUUCCAUGGAGCUCACUAGGGUAUAAAGCCAAGUAGGGAUAGGCUAAGCUUCAGAAUCUGGACGUUUGCAACAUUUCCAGGUAUUUCCACAUUCUUCACAGUGAUUUUACCAAUGUGUCUCCCACCACUGAGGGCUUCUACCUACCUCCAAAACUGUUGGUGUUGCCAGACUUUUUUCACUUACCUUGGGUGUUGGGUUUGAAAUCCCUCCCUGUGGCUUCUUGUUCCUCAUGACUGGUGACGUUGGGUGCCCUUGUAUUUUAAUUCUGUGCCACCUGGGUCCCCCCCAACUCCCACCCCCCCACCACUUGCUCUCUCUGCUUCGUAAGGAGAUAUUGUUGCCCGGUCAACUCCGAGUGAUCACAGGUUCAGGGGUGUCCCCAAAAUGAGAUGCUUAGUGUUUGAUGAAUGAUGACACUGAGGCCAGGAGUGAGAGGAGGCAGACAGGGCCCAUGUGGACAGAAAGGGUUUAUUCCAAGUCCAGACAUGACCAACAGAGAUAAAAAGGGGGGAAAAUUGGGACUAAUCUGUGGGAGAAAGAGUGAGCCUGAAUUUGAAAAAUGGAGAGAAUUAGACAUGGAGGAGGAGAGGGAGGAAGGGAGAACAAAGGAAAUAAGCAGUUGAUGACCAAAACACGUAGUGAUUCUAUGCACAUGAUCAAAACGUGAUCGUGUAAUCAUGUACAUUUCUUAAAUUCAAAUGGACAAAGAACACGUAAUUUUCCCCAUUCCUCCCAUGAAGCACAACUAAAACCCUGGACUAGACAUCAUACAUAAAAACAUGAGACUCUGAAUAUGAUUCAGACUUUAAAAACAAGAAAGCUUGUGUUUACAACGUGGAUGAACUUGGAAGACAUGUUCAGUGAAAUAGGUCAGGCACAGAAAGACAAAUACUUCCUAUCUCACUUGUGGAAUCUAAAAAGCUGAACUCCCAUGUAGAAUGGUGGCUCUAGGGGCUGAGGGAGGGAGGAGGAACUGAACAGAUGUUGGUCAAAGGGCGCAAGAGGAAUUGUUCAACAUGGUGACUCAACAUGGUCAAUGUAUUUUAUUCUUGAAAAAUGCUGAGUAGGCUGGGCACAGUGGCUCACACCUGUAAUCCUAGCAUGCUGGGAGACCGAGGGGGAUCACCUGAGGCCAGGAGUUUGAGACCAGCCUGGGCGACAUGACAGUUCAUCUCUUUUUUUUUAAUAUAAAAAACUUAAUUGCUGAGCAGAUUUUAAGUGUUCUUAUCACAGAAAAAGAGAUAAGCAUGGAUGUAUGGUCACGGGUAUGUCAAAGAUAUGUUAAAUUAGCUUGAUUUAGAUAUUUUACACUGUAUACCUAUGUCAAAACAUGUUCUAUGCAUCAUAUUUACAAUUUUGUCAAUUAAAAUUAAUAAAAAGUGA